CCGAAGCAGAGAAGCUCCUGCCCCUGGCUUAAAAAUUGACUAUCCUGGCUAAAAACAAAAUAUUCCCUUUGCUUCUUCAGAGAAGAUUCAACAGGAAGGACAAUAGCAUCUAGUGCCUCCAUUGAGAUUUUUUAAAAAUAAACUUUUUAUUUUGGAAUAAUUUCACUUUUACAGAAAAUUUACAAAUUAAUACGAAGAGUUCUCAUGUUCCCCUCUCCUAGUUUUCCCUAUUGUUAACAUCUUACAUCACCACAGUACGUUCAGAAAAACUAAGGAACAAACAUUGACAGGUUACUAUUGUUAGUUAAACUCUAUAAUCUUUAUUCAGGUUUCACUAGCUUUUCCAUGAAUGUCCCUUUUUCGGUUCCAGGAUUUCAUCCAGCAUAUCAGAUUACAUUUAGUUGUUGUGUCUUCUUAGUUAUAAUUUUCCAGUCUUUCCUUAUUUUGAUACUUUGAUAAUUUUGAGAAGUAUUGGUCAGGUACUUUAUAUAAUGUCCCUCCAUUUGGGUUUGCAAAGUAUUUUUUUCAUGAUUACACUGGGGUUAUGGGUUUCUGGGAGGAAGACCACCAAGGUAAAGUGUCCUCUCAUCACAACCUGUGGGAUGUACCCAGGUGCUGUCCACAUGAUUUACCUGUGGUUCCACCAUGAUUUGAAGGCAGAGGGCAGGCUCUGAGAAGCCUCCUACAGGAUGAGGGUCUUGAUUCAGAGUCCUUCCCUCUGGAUGCACAAGACCAUGGAUUGCUGAUCAAGAAGGACCCUGCAAAGCUGGAGAUGGGGUGGAGUGGGGCAGUGCUGCACAUGGGAAGAGCAACAGACUAGAAGCCAGGUCUGUCUGGCACUAGUCCUGACUUCACCGCUUCUGAGCUGCGUGAUGUUGAGUGAGAGUCUUUAACCUCCCUGGCCUCAGUUUCCUCAUUCACCAAUCAGUAUGUAACCCCUUCCCCUCCCUUCCUUCUAGGGUUGGCAACUGGAUCAAAUGACAUUAGAUUUGAAAAGACUUUAAAAAGUAUAAAAGACAGUACAUAGAUGGGAAGUCAGUCUUUAAGCCUGCUUUGGAUUUUCCAGCAUUUCAGCUCCAGCAGGAGGAGAAAGAUUUACUUUCUAUUUACUUAUCACUGUUAACAAGCAAACACAUACAAGUCAUAUGGGUGUGUGUGUGUGUGUGUAAUCUUUUAACUUUUUUAAAAGUCUGAUUUAUUGAAAUAUAUUUACAUAUAGUAAAAUUCAUCCUUCUUAUGUGUACAGUUCUGAGUUUUGACAAAAAAUACAAUCAUGUAAUCCUUACCACAAUUAAGAUAGAGAACACGAGACAUAGAAUACUUCCAUGACCUCUUCACCCCCAAAUUCCCUCACACUUCUGUCAUCAACCCAUUCCCCUACUCUUAGCCCCUGGCAAUAUUGACCUGUUUUUUGUUCCUAUUUUCUACAAUGUCAUAUGAAUUGAAUCAUGUUGCCUUUAUUGUUUUUAGUUCUAAAAACAACAUUAUUGAGGUAUAACUGAUAUACAAUAAAAUGCACAUACAAAAGUAUACAACACGUAAGUCUUGGUUAUGUAUACAUUUGUGAUAUCAUCCCCACAAUCAGGACAGUGAACAUAUACCCAUCACCCUAAAAGUGUCCUCAACUUCUACUGUCACUGCUUUUCAGCAAACUGAUGGUUCUCUGCAUGUACUCUGAGGCACAGUGCUCACUCCCACUGUUAUGCCCUCCUUCAGGUGGCUUUCUUUCCCUUAAGCUACCACCUGGCCCUUUUGAUCUCUCCAAAUCCUGCCCAUCCUUCAAGUCUACGCUUUAGCCCUCCCCACCACCCAAUGUCUAAAGGGUCCUUUAAAGUUAUCCUUUGAGAAUAAUUCAGCCCACACUUGCUACUUCCUUCUCUACUCCUAAUGUACUUACAGACAACCUCUCAUUGUGGUCUUUCUUUAUAUAACAGUGUUUGUAUCUUACUGUCCUAAGGUGAGUGGCCCAGUGUUUAGCAGCAUGGUCUCUGGGGUUAGAUAGUUAGGUUCAUAUAGUUAACCUUAGGCUCCUGUUUAACCUCUGUCUCUGUGUCAUUUUUCCUUAUCUGUAAAAUUAGGAAGACAAUACAGUAUCUACCACAAAGGGUCUUGUGAGGAUUAAUUGGGUUUAUCUGCAUAAAGCACUUAGAAAAGAAUCUUGUUAUACAGUAAGCACUUAAUAAAUGUCCACUGGCUUCAUCAGUACCAUUACCGUUGAAAGCCUUUUAACAGCAAAAACUACAACUCUCACUGUGUCCACAGUAGUGGGCUUGUGGAUGGAGCUCAGAUAUUUGUUGGGCUUUUGAUCAAGGGACCAUUCCAGUGAAUCAGAAAGUUCCUGUGACCACUUAACAUAUUACACGCUUGCUUGUGUACUGCUCUUAGAUGAUAUAAAAACAAAUCAAAUUCCCAAACCAAAAAGCUGCACUCUUUUGUCUGGGUAAAUACAGCUAUGACAUGUCUAUUUCCAUGGUUUAGAAUAUCACCAGUGGGAAUCUACUGUGGAAAAUUGAGUACAACACUAUCAUCAUAUGAUUUGUUUUGCUCAUAUUUGGCUGUGCCAUUGGCUGCGGAGCCAGGCAGCGAACUCCACACAAUGAGGAGCCUGUGAAAACGCAGAGAAGGCAAGAAAGGAUGCAAACAUUUAGGCAGCAUCUGAUGGUAGCUGGCUUGUGGUUUACCUGGCCUUUGGUUAGAUAACUGUGCCUGAUCCCUAUGGCCAGGAAGGAAGGUAGGGUCAUGUACUACAAAUUUUGACCUUGUACAUGAGGAAUAUAAAGACAAAUUAGCCACUGCCAGAAUGACUAAAAUUAAAAAGACUGACAAGGAUGGUGAGGAUUUGACACAUUGCUCCAAAUUUCAGACAGUGCUAAUGAAAAUGAAGAUCUGUACAACAAAAGUACAGGCCUACCUCAGAGAUAUUGGAGUGUUCAGUUCCAGACCACGCAAUAAAGUGAAUAUCACAAUGAAGAGCUGAAGAAUUCACAUUUGGGCUGAUGGGCCUGGGGAGGUGUAACACUAUGGACGAGUGGGCAACUGGCUCUUCAGGCUUGGAACCAAGAGGGGGCAGCAGAGAGCAGAGAAGAAUUGGUUGGCUUGGGCUGACCCAGACCUAGGAAAACUUCCAAUCUUCUUCUUCUUCCCUCAAAACCGAAUCCUUGUGGACUCACUCUUGAGACUAUUGUCCACACAAGUGGUGUGGUCCAAGGCCACAGCAAGAAAGGUCUGAGGGAGUUCUUUGGGGUUCAGGUGGAGAAAAGCCUGUGCUGGAUGCCAGGCUGCUCUGAGAACAGGAAGGAAGAUAAUAAUGUUAACAGCAACAGUUACAAUUACCCAGCCCCUGUAGGGUGCCAGGCCCUCUGCCAAGGUGCUUUCUUUUCAUUCUCUCAAAGACUACUUGAGGUGGGGAAACCCCCAGUUUACAGAUGAGAAAACAGGGUCCCAGAGUGGUUAAAUACCUUGCCCAUGAUCACGUGACUAAGGGAGGGCCAAGCCACAUUUUAGACUCUUGCCUGUCCUGCCCUCUGUGUUAUGGUGCCCUUCCAGGAAGGAGGCAGAAAGGUGCACCUGGAGUUAGAAUAUCCUUGGGGAGUGUCCCGGACCCAAGGGAAGGCAAACGGUCCUUCUGGUACAGACUGCUGUCUCCUGAUGGCCACGGGUCUCCUGACAGAUUUAGCCAAUUCACUGGCUCACAGGUCCAUGCACCAUCCUCAGCAGAGCCGGGGUAAGGUAGCUGGGCUCGAACAGCCCCAGAAAAAGGCAAAAAGAAAGAUAACAGAAACUUGUAUGGAACUUUCAAGUACUCACUGUGGAAGUCAUUGAUUUAUCUGCCUACUGUGAGAGUUAUGUCACGUUGGAAGGUCACAUUAGAACGCCCCUCACCUCCUGCAGCCUCAGCUCCACCCUGGGCUCAGAGAUCAAUCCUUGCCUUAUUUAGGGAAGCACAUCCAAGCAUAUUUGAAACUUUUGGGAUGGGCUUGGGGAUACUGGCACCAGGGACAUCUUGCUGUCAGUACUGUCCUGAUUCUGAGAACUCCACUAACGCCACAUUCCUCAAUCCAAGCCUGGAUCUGGGACUCAGGCUGCUGCCUCACUAAAUGCCUUAUCUUUUGGGUCACUGCAGACCAGGGCCCUGCCUUCUUUAGCCAAUGUCUGUUUCCCUCAUCUGGCAGUAGGACAUCAGUCUACCAAAAGAGUCACAUGUUCAUAUCCCAGCUUAGGUCCAAGUUGUGAACCAACUUCAUUUCUUAAUGUAAUCACUUUUUUGGUAUUGCUUUUUUUCUCUAAAAAGUAUGUAUAUUUUCUGAUCCUACAUGUAAUAUUUUCUGGGCCAGUUGCAGUGGCACACACCUGAGCUACUCAAGGAAGCUGAGGCGGGAGGAUCCCUUGAGCCCAGGAGUUUGAGGUUACAGUGAACUAUGAUUGCGUCACUGUACUCCAGCCUAGACAGCUAGCAAGACCCCAUCUCUUAAAAAAAAUUGUUAGAAAAUACUUUAAAGCAUCAAGGAGAAAAAAAUUUCUCCUAUCUUUCUGGAUACAUUUUUCUCAACUGCGCUUAUUACUAUCUAACACCGUCCUUUACUUAGGUUUUCAUUGUUUGUCUCCUUCUCUAGAAUGGGAGCUUGACAACAUGAGGGAUUUCAUGUUUUGUUCACUGCAAGUUCCUUAAUUCCCAGAACAAUACCUGGCACAUUUACAGAAUGAAUGAAUUAAUUCAUAAUGCCAUGACAUCAGAUAUAAUUUUAUUUAAUAUUAUAGAGGGAACAUUUUUCAAUGUCAAUAAAAUUUUUUCAAAAGCAUCAUUUUAAAUGGCUGAUAAUAAUCUAGGGUAUGGACAUCUAAGCAUGUGUUAAGUAUGCCUGCAGUUUUGGAUACUGAAAGAUUACACAGAUUAAUUUGAUUCCCCAUUUAUCAAGCUACAGCAGGGCCAGGCUCACUUUGUUGUUUGGUUUCUUAGUUUCUUGUUCCUGGUCGAAUGAACAGAUGAGACUGGUGAAUUAUGGAGAAUUUCUGUCACUGCCCUCUCUAGCCUUGGCAUAGCACUGUGGCUCCUCUCUCCAAAUUUCUAGGUGAUCCAGCCGGCUGGGCUCUAUGUACUGAAGCAUAGGCUGCCCAGCGUAAGCAGAAUUGCUAACAGGAUACUAUUAUGGUACCCACCUGUGUGGCCUUGUGGGGGUGGGGGAACUUACCUUUGUUCCUGUCCUCCUCUAGAAAAUCAGUUACAUUUCUCUUGCCUCCCUCCCAAGGAUGAUUUCCAGGGAAGCAAAUUAAAAAGCGGUGAAAAGCCUUUAACAAUUACUCAGAAAUCUAUCAUUUCAUCCUCUUUCACCUCCAGUUCAAGUUUAAGAACA
rnacentral:lncRNA from 1 species